CAGGAAGUAGUUUAUUAAAAUAUUAAUUUUGGAGAUUAAAGAUAGGGUUUUCCUUUUCCUGA
rnacentral:tRNA from 1 species